rnacentral:ribozyme from 16 species
AUGCCCUGAGUGAAAAAAAAAAGAAAAGAAAAGAAAAAAGAAAAA